rnacentral:rRNA from 1 species
GAUCCUGGCUCAGGAUGAACGCUAGCUACAGGCUUAACACAUGCAAGUCGAGGGGAAACGAUAGAGAAAGCUUGCUUUUUCUAGGCGUCGACCGGCGCACGGGUGAGUAACGCGUAUCCAACCUGCCCACCACUUGGGGAUAACCUUGCGAAAGUAAGACUAAUACCCAAUGACGUCUCUAGAAGACAUCUGAAAGAGAUUAAAGAUUUAUCGGUGAUGGAUGGGGAUGCGUCUGAUUAGCUUGUUGGCGGGGUAACGGCCCACCAAGGCGACGAUCAGUAGGGGUUCUGAGAGGAAGGCCCCCCACAUUGGAACUGAGACACGGUCCAAACUCCUACGGGAGGCAGCAGUGAGGAAUAUUGGUCAAUGGACGAGAGUCUGAACCAGCCAAGUAGCGUGCAGGAUGACGGCCCUAUGGGUUGUAAACUGCUUUUAUAAGGGAAUAAAGUGAGUCUCGUGAGACUUUUUGCAUGUACCUUAUGAAUAAGGACCGGCUAAUUCCGUG